GACGAACGCUGGCGGCGUGCCUAACACAUGCAAGUCGAGCGGAGUCAGUAAGAGGAAGUUUUCGGAUGGAAUCUUAUUGAUUUAGCGGCGGACGGGUGAGUAACGCGUGAGCGACCAACCUUGCACAGGGGGAUAACGGACCGAAAGGUUCACUAAUACCGCAUGAGACCACGGUGUUGCAUGACACAGGGGUCAAAGGAGCAAUCCGGUGCAAGACGGGCUCGCGUCCGAUUAGGUAGUUGGAGGGGUAACGGCCCACCAAGCCUAUGAUCGGUAGCCGACCUGAGAGGGUGAUCGGCCACAUUGGAACUGAGAUACGGUCCAAACUCCUACGGGAGGCAGCAGUGGGGAAUAUUGGGCAAUGGGGGAAACCCUGACCCAGCAACGCCGCGUGAAGGAAGAAGGUUUUCGGAUUGUAAACUUCUGUCCUUGGUGAAGAGAAGAAGACGGUAGCCAAGGAGGAAGCCCCGGCUAACUACGUGCCAGCCGCCGCCGUAACAC
rnacentral:rRNA from 1 species